AUUUGUACUUAUGUAGGGUUUUUAAUGUACAUAAUAGCUUUAUUGAGAUAUAAUUCAUGUAUCAUACAAUUCACCCAUUGAAAGUGUAUCAUUCAAUGGUCUUUAAUAUAUUCACCAAGUUGUGUCACCCUCACCACACUUCAGGAACAUUUUCAUCACCACAAAAAGAAACCCCAUACUCAUUAGCAGUCACUCUCUGUCUUCCCCCUGUAUGAGUUUCCUAUGGCUCCUGUAACAAAUUACCACAAAAUUCAUGGUUUAAAACAACAGAAAUGUAUUCUUUCACAAUUCAGGAGGCCAGGAGUCCUAAAUGAAGAUGUUGGCAAGGUUGCUUGCUUUUGGAGGCUCUGAGGUGCAAACUGCCCAGGCCUCUCUCUAGCUGCUUCUGGUGGUUGCUGGCAAUCCAUGGCAUUCGUUGGCUUGUAACUGCAUCACGUCAAUCACUGCCUGUGUCUUCACAUGGCCCUCUUCCCUGUGUCUCUCUCUGUGUCUUCAUGUGGUGUUAAAAGGACAACAGUCAUUGGAUUUAGCCCACCAUCCCCCGAUCCAGGAUGAUUUUAUCUUAACUAAUGACAUCUGCAAAGAGCCUAUUUCCAAAUAAGGUCACAUUCUGAAGCUCUGGGUGGACAUGAAUUUUGUGGGGACAUUAUUCAACCCAGUAACAUCCCCCAGACACCGCAGCCCUAGGCAACCAUUAAUCUUUGUCUUUAGUUUUACCUAUUCUGAACAUUUUUAUGUUGGGUUUUGAAUUUUGCACCCUAUUGAAAAAAAUGUGUCCAGUUUAAAUUUUUUGAGGGAAAAAUAUCCAGGUAUCAUAUUACAGUUUUGUUGUAUUACUUAAUAUGAUAAUCUCCCAAGUGGAAAUACGCAGCACUGUUUAAGAUCUUUUAAAUGGACUAGUCUUUUCUUUAGGCUCUGUCAACUGACCAGAACACGGUAUAAGUAUGUAGACAGGUUUGAUGUAGGUUAUAAUGAAGUGGUUUUUAAAAAUUAGUAAUUCCUAAUUAGUGUCUGUUUUCUGCCUUCGAAAUAUUCUACAAAAUUGUUAAUGCCAGGAUAAUGAAUGAGCAAAAUAUAUUGUCAAAUAAACUUUCUAUUCCUCGCCCCCCGCCAAAAUUCCUGUAAAGUGCUCUACUUUCUUUUUAGUAGAUACAUGAUAUAUUAAUGUUAUAUCCUUUGCAGUGACAUUAUUGUGAUGAUACACCUAUUUAGAUUAAUCUUUUUAAAGUCACAACUUUAACAUGAAAGUUAUUAUGUCUUGAAAACAAUUGUAAUAAAAACAGUAAUUGUGACCUAGCUUUCAAAAACCUUAUGUAUAGUCUCACAGAAACUUUUGUCAUGAAAAUGAG
rnacentral:lncRNA from 1 species